CAGCCGCCGCGGGAAUAGGAAGGGUGCAAGCGUUAAUCGGAAUUACUGGGCGUAAAGCGUGCGUAGGCGGUUUGUUAAGUCUGUUGUGAAAUCCCCGGGCUCAACCUGGGAAUGGCAAUGGAUACUGGCAAGCUAGAGUGUGUCAGAGGAUGGUGGAAUUCCCGGUGUAGCGGUGAAAUGCGUAGAGAUCGGGAGGAACAUCAGUGGCGAAGGCGGCCAUCUGGGACAACACUGACGCUGAGGCACGAAAGCGUGGGGAGCAAACAGGAUUAGAUACCCCAGUAGUCCCUGUCUCUUAUAC
rnacentral:rRNA from 1 species